ACACAUUUUUAUUGGUAAGUAGUGGACGUCGACUAGAAUUAGAUUUGUAAACGCUGAAAAUAAUACAGGAGUAAAAGCAAUCUCGGAUACCCACUUGCGGAAAAAUCACUGGAUAUGGCAAGUGGAUUCAUUGUGCAUCCUAAACUGAAAUUUUUUUCGAAUCCGCCUAUUUUCCAAACUCAAAAUCGCAAGAAAGUACACAAGAAAAAGUAAUUCUACAGGUCACAGAAGGGCUUCAAUAUUUGUGCCAUGUGGGAAAUGGAUUUGCCCUCCCAGGGGCCAACUUUGUUUCCUUCAGGAUCAGUCUGGAAUUUGCAGGAGAACAAAGCUUUUGAAAAUGCUCUAGCUAAAUAUGAUAAGGACACCCCAGAUAGAUGGGAGAAGGUGGCAGCCAUGGUGCCCGGAAAAAGUGCCAUGGAUGUCAGAAAGCACUAUAAGGAUCUUGAAGAUGAUGUGAAAGUCAUCGAUGCUGGCCUACUUAAGGUAAGUUAUAACAAUUCUUCCAAUACAAUUGAAUGGAUACCAGAUAAAGCUGGUGAGUUUCCUGGUUUGAAGCAGUCAUUUGGAAGUAGUGGGAAAGGGCCACCUGCCAAGUCCUUUGAACAAGAGAGAAAGAAGGGCAUUCCCUGGACUGAAGAAGAGCACAGGCUAUUUUUUAUGGGACUUAAUAAAUAUGGUAAAGGUGACUGGUGAGGUAUCUCAAGAAACUUUGUGGUAACAAGAACACCAACACAAGUUGCCAGCCAUGCUCAAAAGUACUUUAUUCGUCUUAAUAAAGAUAAGAGAAGAGCCAGCAUACAUGAUAUAACCAGUGUCAGUAGUACAGAUAGGAGGUCGAUUCCUUUUACCACAGUCUUCUGCCAAUUGUGGGCAGAAUGUUCACUGUCGCAAAAGGGCUUCAAUAUUUGUGCCAAGUGGGAAAUGCCAGGGAUAACUGUUGAUUCCUCUGCCCAGCCCUCUGAACAUUCCCCUGCCCAUCCCUCUGAACAAGAGAGGAGGAGGGGCGUUCCCUGGACUGAAGAAGAGCACAGGCUAUUUUUGAUGGGACUUGAUACAUAUGGUAAAGGUGACUGGAGAGGUAUCUCAAGAAACUUUGUGGUAACAAGAACACCAACAAAGGUUGCCAGCCAUGCUCAAAAGUACUUUAUUCGUCUUAAUAAAGAUAAGAGAAGAGCCAGCAUCCAUGAUAUAACCAGUGUCAGUAGUACAGAUAGGAGGUCGAUUCCUUUACCACAGUCUUCUCCAAAUUGUGGGCAGAAUAAUUCCACAUCAAUACCAACAGAAUUUAGUCUAUCUGCGUUGUACCUUUGCGAAACAGAAUUGGUACUCAAGCUGAUAGGAGGUCGAUUACUUUAAAGGCUCAAUAGUACUAUAUUCGUCUUGCUCGUCUUAGAUCAGAAAACUCCAAUAGUUAGCUUAUACUUCUGCUUGGUGGGUUUGAUGGAAUUUUGCCAUCCCAAAUGGUUUUGUUGGAAACUGGAAACGAAAUUAGGAAUGUCAAGCAUGCAGUUUAAGUUCUUAGACAGACAUUCUAAAUUAGUUUUCAGUGUUUUUUGAUAAAUUUUUAUGGAUAGUAAUAUCUAUAUUUUUAAGAGUUUUAGUUGCUUUUAAUGCUAUGCAUGAAAAUGCAAGUAUAUAAUUGUUGCAA